CCCUUAGAUGUUCUGGGCCGCACGCGCGCUACACUGAUGCAUUCAACGAGUUUACCUUGGCCGAGAGGCCUGGGCAAUCUUUUAAACCUGCAUCGUGAUAGGGAUAGAUUAUUGCAAUUAUUAAUCUUGAACGAGGAAUUCCUAGUAAACGCAGAUCAUCAAUCUGCAUUGAUUACGUCCCUGCCCUUUGUACACACCGCCCGUCGCACCUACCGAUUGAAUGGUCCGGUGAAGCCUCGGGAUUGUGGCCAGCUCGCUUUAUUGGGAGUUGGUCGCGAGAACUUGUCUAAACCUUAUCAUUUAGAGGAAGGUGAAGUCGUAACA
rnacentral:rRNA from 1 species